AGCCUACGGAAAGUGCCACAGAAAAUAUACCGCCCACUUUUCCUUUGGGAAUCGUAGGUAAGGGUGAAAUGGUGCGGUAAGAGCGCACCGCGCGAUUGGUAACAGUCGUGGCAGGGAAAACCCCACUCGGAGCAAGACCAAAUAGGAAUCCAUUUGACUGCAAGGUCCUAACGUAUGGCCCAUACGGGAUUCGGGUAGGUCGCUUGAGGCAUGUGGUGACGCAUGUCCCAGAUGAAUGGUUGCCCACGACAGAACCCGGCUUAUCGACCGACUCUAAUC
rnacentral:RNase_P_RNA from 1 species